AGCUAUUGAGCUGCAGUAUUCGCGCGACUGUAUCACCUGGAAUCGUCUUCCUCGCCUGCGGUUCCUGUCCAAGGACAUGAUCCGGCGUUGGACCUGAGCAUUCCUGAGAGACGAUGAGCACUGCUCGUAAGAGGUGACCAUGUGAGAUAUGAAGUCCUGGCGACAAUGAACGCGCACCGUGUCAAACGAAGGCUUUGUCAUCAACUUGAAACAGGCUACAAACCCCGUAGGAGGUAUCGUUUCCUGCAGUAAGGUUCAUAUUAAGUCCAUAGUCAGGAUAUGUAGCUGUUUGUUUUGCUGUGGAAGAAGUCUCUGCAUUUAUAUAUAUGGAAGUGGUUUUUUUCCUGA